rnacentral:misc_RNA from 1 species
ACUGAUGAGGGUGAUUACAACAUCAAAUUACGUAAUUUGAUUAAUUUCCUGGAUGAGGGCGACAAGGUAAAAGUUACUCUAAGAUUUAGAGGUCGUGAAAUGGCACACCAAGAGUUUGGUGUUCGUCUUUUGGAACGAGUAAAAGAUGAUCUUCAAGAACAUGCGAUUGUAGAGCAAUUUCCCAGACUAGAGGGUAGGCAAAUGGUGAUGGUGUUGUCACCCAAAAAGAAAGAAAUAAAAAAAAGUAAAUAGAAAGAGUUAAAGCAAGAAAAUAAAGUUUGAACAGCUAUAAUAUCUACGUGAGCAUACUAAUCAUCCAAGUUAUCUGAUUGGA